rnacentral:lncRNA from 1 species
AUGAAAGUAAAACUUUCUGUGAACGCAGCUGCUUCUCGCCGGGUGCGGUGGCGCGUGCCUGUAAUCCAAGCUACCGGGAGGCUGAGGUUGGAGGAUCGUUUGAGCUCAGGAGCUCUGAGCUGCAGCAGGCUAUGUCGAUCGGGUGUCCGCACUAAGUUCGGCAUUGAUAUGGUGAUCCUGGGGGAGCCCGGGACCACCAGGUCGUCUAAGGAGGGGUGCCCAGGUCGGAGACGGAGCAGGUCAAAGCCCCCGUGUCGCUCAGUAGUGGGAUCGCGCCUGUGAAUAGAUGCUGUAGCGCAGCCUGAGCAAUACAGCGAGACCCAAUCUUUAUACACACCCUUAUACCUGUCUCUACAUCACACAGCAGCCUCAUCAGUCCUUAUUUAUCUUUUUAAUUGACGUCAAAAACACUCACAAACCUGCUGCUCUGCUUGUCCUGCACCACCUCAACUUGCAACUACAUCCUCCACCCUAAACACUCCUGCCGCCCAGCAGGUGGAGACAAACUCACUCACUCACUCAAUCAAUCAAUCAAUCAAUCAUAUAUAUAUCAGUCUGGUAUGGUGUCGACAUAAUGCCGCAAUCUGGCAGUCAUGCCUUCUUUUUGAGCAGUGGUUCCAUGGUCUUUGAAUCCAGUGAUCUGAGUUCAAAUCUCAGUGGGACCUGGUUUUUAGAGGUGAAACCACACUUCAUGUCUUCUCUGGUUCACAGAAACAGUGCUACAGUUGUGUUUUCAGUCAAAACUGUAUAAAAUCAAGCAGCUAACCUUGACCUCUGCCUUUAGAAAUGAUUGUGAAUUCCUAUGUGCCACUAAAGAGCUUAUACUUGUGCGUAAAAGUCACAAACACUCUGCUCACUCACUGACUGAGCAUGAUCAUCAUUUUCGAGCUAUAAAUGGCAUCAGCCUCUCCACAAUUGACAGUAUCCUUAAAAGAACCCAUUGGCUGAAUACUUUUUGGCAGGUUGCCAUGAUCAGGCAGUUCACGCACUCGCACGGGGGUUCCAUGGUGUAAUGGUUAGCACUCUGGACUCUGAAUCCAGCGAUCCGAGUUCAAAUCUCGGUGGGACCUGACUUUUGGAAUGUGAAACCAUACUGCAUGUCACCUCUGGCACAUUGAACAAAUUGUGCUUUCAGUCAGAGCUGUUUAAAAUCAAGCAGCUAACCCUGACGUCUGCCUUUGGAAACAUUUGUGAAUCACUAAAGAAUAAUGCUAAAGAACUGUCUCAAAUGCAGUUGCACACCACACAAAGUUACAGAGUGGGGUGUCUGAGUGCUGAGCUGCGCUUGUGUGUAAAAGUCACAAACACUCCCCUGACUAACUGCACAGCUCUAAACGGCAUCUGACUUUAACAUCAGCACAAAAACUGGGCACUUCAUUAUAUGUGUUUCCAUGGCUGAUCCAAAAUAUCUGAAAGGGGCCACG